rnacentral:rRNA from 1 species
GAUGAACGCUAGCGGCAAGCUUAAUACAUGCAAGUCGUGGGGCAGCAUGAGUGUAGCAAUACAUUUGAUGGCGACCGGCAAACGGGUGCGGAACACGUACAGAACCCUCCUUCAAGCGGGGCAUAGCCCAGAGAAAUUUGGAUUAAUACCCCAUAAUAUAAUGAAGAGGCAUCUCUUUGUUAUUAAAGAUUUAUCACUUGAAGAUGGCUGUGCGGCUGAUUAGGUAGUUGGCGGGGUAACGGCCCACCAAGCCUGCGAUCAGUAACUGGUGUGAGAGCACGACCAGUCACACGGGCACUGAGACACGGGCCCGACUCCUACGGGAGGCAGCAGUAAGGAAUAUUGGUCAAUGGACGCAAGUCUGAACCAGCCAUGCCGCGUGGAGGAUGAAGGUCCUCUGGAUUGUAAACUUCUUUUAUAUGGGACGAAAAAAGGCUUUUCUAAGUCGUCUGACGGUACCAUAUGAAUAAGCACCGGCUAACUCCGUGCCAGCAGCCGCGGUAAGAC